rnacentral:lncRNA from 13 species
UGAUUCGUUUCACAACACUCUGUGAUGUACAUUCGUACCAACAUCAUAUAGGAUAUAUUAAGUUUUCGGAACUCAUAAGUUUUCUAGACUUAUGUUCCAAAAACAAUAUCUCUUCACUCGUUUCUCGAGGAUACAUCUCGAACUAAGACGCUUUUUGACACAUUUGUAAACUCGAUUCAAUGUGGUACGUUUUUCGUAAACUGAUAUCGCAGAUAUAUUCGUUUCGACGAUACAUGCUUCGAAAGAAAAAAACCGAUUUUUUUCAAAGGAGUGUUUCACCCUUAAAAGUGCAUUAAAACACGUAUAAAAAAAUACGUGUCUCUCAUUUUUAUCUGUACAACAUAUUAAAGACACGUCGAAUUCGGAGGGAGUCGUUUCCGUAGCGCACAAACGCGCGGACGGGUGCGUGUACCAUGCGUAUAGAGAGGUUUUUAAUUAUUUUUGCAAAAUGGGAAUGUCGCAUCGUAACAUUAUCAUAUACCGUUAAAUUUGUAAUAAAAUAAGCUUUACUUUGUUUAUAAAGAGAAAUAAAAAUUUAAAAAAAAAAAAUAAGAAAGUAGUGGGGUAAAGUGUAAAAAAAUUUUUUUUAUCGCUGUUAUACAGUACUCUUCGAGCCAUUCAACUUUUAUUUAGAAUAUUUUUCUCUAUCUCUUGUAGUUUCGAUAUACGCUUCGGAAAAAAACCGAUUUUCUUCAAACGGGUGUUUCAAUCCCAAAAGUGAAAACGGCACGUAUAAAAAAAUACGUCUCUUAUUUUUAUCUAUACAACAACAUAUUAAAAGUUCGUUAAAAUCGAAUGGGAGAAAUCUCGAAACAUUUCCUUGUAAGUGUAUGUGAACCUGAUUUCAAUAAAAGUAUUUUCUCCAGAA